AUUGAACCACCUGUUCUUGUAUGAUCACUAAAGUUAAGCAAUGUCGGGCCUGAGCAGUACCUAGAUGGGUGACUGUUUGGGAAUACCAGAUGCU